UUUCUGUUUAUUUAUUGGAGCAGUGAAAUUCUUCAGGAUCUCAUGAAACAUGCAGCUCUGGAACAUAAAGUAGCCUCUCUAAUAAGGUGUGAUGGAUAGGAAUGUAGAUAGGAUGUAUGUCUUUAUGUCCUAGCCCCAGUCUCACAGAGCAAAGAGGGAUUAGUUAUAAAUUUUCACUCUGAACUGAGGGUCAGGUCAGUGUCAGUUUAGUGAAGACUUACACUAUGCAUUGUCUGCUUUUUCAUCACUGUGGUUCUGAAAGGAAUAUCUAACCAUGUGACUGUAUUUGAAAAUUAAAAGUCUCUAAAUAAUGAGUGUAAGUGCAUUAGAUAACAAGCCCUCUUGUCUCCCCCAGGUUUCCUUUGCAUAUCAGAGGGAAAUGACAACACUCAGCAUAUUUUUAAAGCUCUGCUCUGCCUGAUUGUCUGUUAGUUGGUCACUGUGCUGAGCGCAGGGGCGGAGGGAAGACGGAAAGGUGGCGAGCGCCCUUGUCCCUGCGCCAGCCCUCCUCGGUGUGUGCGCCGUGUGUCGGAGCAGCUCCCGCGCCGUGGGACGCCAGGGAGACGUGGAGCACAGCAGCUGACUGGCCAUGCCUCUUCCCGCGGGUUUUCUGCCUAGCUCCUCUCCUCCACGCACACGUAAGCCUGUCCCUGAGCACGUUGAAAGGGGUCUUUUUACUGGUCCCCACUUACCAGGGUUGUCUUGUUGCAUCUGACUUUCACAAGUCUCAGAAACAGAGUUUUUCUGUUAGUUUUCAGUUUUG
rnacentral:lncRNA from 1 species